UCUCCGUUGGUGAACCAGCGGAGGGAUCAUUACAGGACUCGCAAGACUCCUACAACCCUGUGAACUUAACUAUAAGCACGUUGCUUCGGCGGGUGUCUCGGAGGGGGUUCUCCCUCCCCCGAGACGCUAAACCCGCCGGCAGCCUACUAUACUCUGUCUCUUUGCGUUGGCAUCUCGAGUACAAUCAAACAAGUUAAAACUUUCAACAACGGAUCUCUUGGUUCUG
rnacentral:misc_RNA from 1 species